rnacentral:lncRNA from 1 species
CAGGUACUUGAUUUUCCUCGAUAUCUGCAUUUUCCGACUUGUUCUGUUUGCCAUCUUCAGCACUCUGAACUUCCUCAGGCUCUGGCUUCUCCCCAGAGGGCAGUUCAGCCCCUUCCAUGCGCUCAUCUUCUGCAGCAGCUUCCACAUCUUUCUUCCUCUUGUCCUCCAUUUCAGCUUCUGCAUUUUCUGACUUGUCCUGAUUGCCAUCAUCAGCACUGUGAAAUUCUUCAGAUUCAGACUAAAAAAAGGAGGUAGUUUCGCGCCCUCUACGCGCUCAUCUUCUUUGGCUGCUUCCACCUCUUUCUUCCCCUUGUCCUCCAUUUCAGCUCCUGCUUCUCCAUCUUUCUUGUCCAAAUUUUCACUUUCUUCUUUGGCAGAUUCCAACCCUUCAGUUUGUGAACCUUCUUUUUCAACUUUAGCAGCAUCCUUUUCCUUGCUAUCUUUC